CCUACGGGUGGCAGCAGUGAGGAAUAUUGGUCAAUGGGCGUAAGCCUGAACCAGCCAAGUCGCGUGAGGGAUGAAGGUUCUAUGGAUCGUAAACCUCUUUUAUAAGGGAAUAAAGUGUGGGCCGUGUCCUAUUUUGUAUGUACCUUAUGAAUAAGGAUCGGCUAACUCCGUGCCAGCAGCCGCGGUAAUACGGAGGAUCCGAGCGUUAUCCGGAUUUAUUGGGUUUAAAGGGUGCGUAGGCGGCCUUUUAAGUCAGCGGUAAAAGCCCGGGGCUCAACCCCGGCGAGCCGUUGAAACUGUCGGUCUAGAGAGGGCGAGAAGUACGCGGAAUGCGCGGUGUAGCGGUGAAAUGCAUAGAUAUCGCGCAGAACUCCGAUUGCGAAGGCAGCGUACCGGCGCCGGACUGACGCUGAGGCACGAAAGCGUGGGUAUCGAACAGGAUUAGAUACCCUUGUAGUC
rnacentral:rRNA from 1 species